GGCCUCCUGGCGGAACUGGUAGACGCGCACGGCUCAGAGCCGCGUUCCCGAUGGGUGUGAGGGUUCGAAUCCCUCGGAGGCCA
rnacentral:tRNA from 1 species